UCUAUUCAAACUCAGUGGGUAAAGAACCUGCUCGCAAUGCAGGAGAUGUCUGAGAUAUGGGUUUGAUUCCCAUGGACAGAG
rnacentral:tRNA from 1 species